ACUGGUGAGCCCUGGGCAUGGGGGUUGCAUGGCAGCAGGGCCAAGGCAAGAGGGGUUUCACAGAGGCACAGCUCUUUGGGAAAGCCUCCUUCAUUCUCCCUGGAGAUAUACCUAGUAGUGGUUUAGGCAAGGAGGUGUUUCCCUGAGGGUAGCGCUCAGUCUCAAAUUACUCAGUUUGACCCUUCUUUCUCCGUUUUCACCUUUGCAACUUAAAAAUAAUACUAAAAAAUCUACCCACUCCCUAAAGUUGAGAGAUCUCAGCUGUGGAGUUGACAAGGUGGGUUUUGAAACAGGGAGCAUCGUGUGAGCUUGAAGAUGGCCGAAAGCGCAGCGCUGCUCGCUGAGGGCAGCCUGUCUGGUGGCACAUCCUCAUCUGCGUCCAGGCUGCCCGCUGUUGGAAGGAAACAUUCCCGCCCAGAGCAUACACUGACACCCUCUCCCUUUGCAAGCAGAAUUAAUCAUCCUUAUGUGCCAUAUUCCAUUUUAAUUUUUAUUGCGCAGCCCGAGAUUAAUGGUUAAUGUAGUACAUCUCCCCAUCUCCACUCCCAUUAGAGUGGAGCGCUUUUGAAUAACUAUUAACUUCGCAGUUAACCGAAAGAAAAUUGUUAAUCAUCGACAAGCUUAUGUUGCAUAAAAAUCACUCUCUGUAACCUUCUGGCUGUGGGAGAGCCCUUUCCUCAGCACUGACCUUCAACGACACCUGGUACCUGCAAAACAAAAUCAGAUGGCACAGCCUUAUCUGCUAGCCAAGCAGGUUGGGGCUGAUCUGCAGAGCACCUGGUGCCACGGGGAUGUGCGCUGUGGCAGUGCAGCCGGUCCUUCCCUUGGCAGGAGGGUCUGGGUGUGCGUGCUGGGAUGGGGAUGAGGUCUCGUCCAGGCAUCGGAUGCUUGCCAGUGAUGCUUCUGCUGCUUUCUCCCUGCCGAUGGACCACGCAGCUGAGCAGGGCCGCAGAGGUGCGGUCUCCCCGUGGAGCACUUACACACGGGCUGUUUGCACCCAGCCGUCCAGGAAAUAAAUCACAGGCUGUUUGUGAAGUAGGAGGGAAGCACUUG